rnacentral:tRNA from 1 species
UCUCUGGAGGACUAGUAGUUAGGCCUUGGCGCUCUCACAGCCCACCACAGCCUGGGUUCGAUUCCCGGUGAGGGAA